rnacentral:rRNA from 1 species
GAUGAACACUGGCGGCGUGCUUAAUACAUGCAAGUCGAGCGAACAGACGAGGAGCUUGCUCCUCUGACGUUAGCGGCGGACGGGUGAGUAACACGUGGAUAACCUACCUAUAAGACUGGGAUAACUUCGGGAAACCGGAGCUAAUACCGGAUAAUAUAUUGAACCGCAUGGUUCAAUAGUGAAAGACGGUUUUGCUGUCACUUAUAGAUGGAUCCGCGCCGCAUUAGCUAGUUGGUAAGGUAACGGCUUACCAAGGCAACGAUGCGUAGCCGACCUGAGAGGGUGAUCGGCCACACUGGAACUGAGACACGGUCCAGACUCCUACGGGAGGCAGCAGUAGGGAAUCUUCCGCAAUGGGCGAAAGCCUGACGGAGCAACGCCGCGUGAGUGAUGAAGGUCUUCGGAUCGUAAAACUCUGUUAUUAGGGAAGAACAAAUGUGUAAGUAACUAUGCACGUCUUGACGGUACCUAAUCAGAAAGCCACGGCUAACUACGUG